rnacentral:rRNA from 1 species
UACAGAGGAUGCAAGCGUUAUCCGGAAUGAUUGGGCGUAAAGCGUCUGUAGGUGGCUUUUUAAGUCCGCCGUCAAAUCCCAGGGCUCAACUCUGGACAGGCGGUGGAAACUACCAAGCUGGAGUACGGUAGGGGCAGAGGGAAUUUCCGGUGGAGCGGUGAAAUGCGUAGAGAUCGUAAGGAAGACCAGUGGCGAAGGCGGGUCGUCUGGGCCGAUACUGACGCUGAGACGGCGAAAGCGUGGGGAGCGAACGAGG